CGCUUCAACUUGCAGGACAUGGGCUUCAGUCUGUUCGACUAAGUUGUGGGGCAUCUUGUGUCUGAAGUAUCUAUCCUUGGCCAGGAAACUAGAGUCAAUGAUGUUUUAGCCUUUAUUUAGCUGAGUUGUGAAACGCUGGCAAGACAAUGUUUUGAUAUGUAAUUCAGCCCCUGGUUGCUGGUUGAUUUACUGGUGAACCAUACCUUUGCUAUCCAAUUUUGGUGCUUUAACAAUGUUUUGAUAUGUUCUGCCUGUUCCAUGUAUCCUCAAUCGCUGCCUCAUUUUUCUGCUAGUCUUUUGGUGAACCUCUCUUUGUAAAUUGGCACAUCGUUGAGUGGUAAGUGCCAUGGUUGUUACAGCGCAACAAAUCUCAUUCCGACUGUACAUGGUCACUUGGUGAUUUGGUUACUGAGGUGUUUGAUUGUAGGAAGCUCCUUCCCUUACCGUCUAUUGCGGAGUAGGCCUGGUGAUUUGGUUACUGAGGUGUUUGAUUGUAGGAAGCUCCUUCCCUUGCCGUGGUCGCAGAGUAGGACCAAUGGCUCCUUCGCGCGUCAAGGACGAUAAGCUGCCACACAAAAUGUCGUGAGUCAUGACGUGCACCUUGACAUUCGAUUGUGUGUGUCUGUCAGUCCUAAUUUCGUGCGGCUAUACUCACAUUUGUAAUCGUUCGUGAAUGUAGGAUUAUCGGUCGGGGUUUUACACGAUGUUUUUAAGCUGUCAAAUUGUCAAAUUGUGAUUGGGCUAAGGGGAGGUUGGAGCCCCACCAACCCAAAAUCAGGGGGACAUCCAUGAGAAUCGAUCGCACAAUGAUUGGACCGUCCGACAUCCAUGAGAAUCGAUCGGUUCGUGAUAAAUUUGUAGUUACAAACACGUGCGAUGACUCCCUGCACGAAAUUAAGACUGACGGACGCAGCUCACGAUGAGAUGCUAGACGUGCCGAUCAACCUGAAAAUCAGGGGGACAUGUUUAAAUCAGGAGGACAUGUUUAGUUAGUGAGGAAGGAGCCUGUAGAAGUUUGUAAGACUCCGCGCGUCUAGCAUUGGUCGCACAAUGAUUGGACUGUCCGACAUCCAUGAGAAUCGAUCGGUUCGUAAUAAAUUUGUAGUUUAUCUCAUCGUGUGUUUUUCUCUUCCAACACUGCUCACGCGCGUUUCUGCUGGUGGAGUUUUGUUCAAGGAGGCCCGUAUUUUUGUGGGUUUAGAUUUUUCUCACUUGUAAUUUCUUUCUACUCUCAAACAUGUAAGGGCAUCCUACAGUUGGACUGGGCAAAUUUGGCCCCUCAAACAUUCGCGGAUGCGUUCGAUCAGUGUUCAGCGUGUCUGUUUUGACUCCUUAUUUGUUCGUCCACGUAGUCAUGUCCUUCCUUUUUUUUCCUAUAUGUCAAGGCACAUGCAUGUGAUUGAAGAAGAGAGAGAAAGAAAAGAAAUAAUAAAAGAAAAAUAUGCUUUGUGGUGGGCCAAAUCUUAUGUGACGGACGCAGGAUCAAUGACCGGACACGACCGGGCACUCCUCAUACUCAUCUCAGACAUAAGGGCAAUAUGAGGGGUGUCAGACAACCCACGCAUUUAUGGAGGCUUUGAGGGGUCCGAUUGGGUCAGCUUUUUUCUUCUCUCUCUCAUGUCCGAUCAGUGGUCCUGCGUCUGCCUGCUCAAUUUGGAGAGUUCGGCUGUAGAUGCUUGUAGUCAAGUAGGCCUGGGGGGAGGGGGUGAUUAGACUACUUAACCAAAUAAAAACCUAGUCUUUUUCCAAUUUUAGUUCUUGGCAAGUUUUAGCAAUUCUCACAAGUCGAGCAACACGCUACACAUGCAAGUCUAGAUAGUAGGCAUCAGAAAGUAAAGACUUUUCAUAUGAAUGCAACGGAGGAGUCGGAGAAAACCAAACGCAAUGAAGACAAUUUGCGUGGUUCCGAUAGGUGGUGCUAUCGUGCGUGCACGUUGAUGGAGACUUCAACCCACGAAGUGUCGGCUGCGUGAGUCCACGGAGGGCUCCACCCAUGAAGGGUCCACAAAGAAACAACCUUGUCUAUGCCAUCAUGGCUUCCGUCCACGAAGGACUAGCCUCACUCGGGGUAGAUCUUCAAGAAGCAGGUGAUCUCCUUGCCCUUACAAACUCCUUGGUUCUGUUGGAAAUAUGCCCUAGAGGCAAUAAUAAAGUUGUUAUUAUCAUAUUUCCUUGUUCUUGAUAAGUGUUUAUUCUCCAUGCUUUAAUUGUAUUGACGGGAGACUUAAAUACAUGUAUGGAUACAUAAACAAACACCGUGUCCCUAGUGAACCUCUACUAAAAUAGCUCGUUGAUUUAAAGACAAUUAAGAUUUUCUAACCAUGAACAUGAGUUGUCAUCUAAUAAAGAGAUCAUAUAUUUAGGAGAAUGAUGUGAUGAACAUACCCAAUCAUAAGCUUAGCAUCUGAUCGUGUCACUAAGUUCAAAUUGCCAUAGCUUUCUUAAUGUAAAGUAUCUAUUCCUUGGACCAUGAGAUCAUGCCACUCGCUAAUACCGGAAGAAUGCUUUGUGGGUAUCAAAUGUCACUUUGUAUGUGGGUGAUUAUAAAGGUGCUAUUCAGGUAUUUCGGAAGGUACUGGUGAUAUGGAUCGAGACUGGGAUUUGUCACUCCAUGUUCGGAGAGAUAUCUCUAGGCCCUCUCGGUAAUAAAACAUCCUAAGUAGCUUUCAAGCAUGUGACUAAUGUGUUUAGUCACAGGGAUAUUGUAUUAUAGAACGAUUAAAGAGAACUUGCCAGGUAACGAGAUUGAAUUAGGUAUGGUGAUACCAACGAUCGAAUUCCGUGCAAGUAAAAUAUCGCGAGACAAAGGGAAUGGAAUACAUGAUUGUUUCAAUCCUCAACAUUGUGGUUUAAACCGAUAAAGAUCUUCGUUGAAUAUGUGGGAUCCAUUAUGGGCAUCCAGGUCUCGCUAUUGAUUAUUGAUGGGAGAAGUUGUCUCGGUUCUCGAACCCGUAGGGUCACACACGUAACGUUCGGUAAUGCUAGGGUAGUAAUGAGAUAUUCAUAAUGGUGAGACCAAAGAUAGUUCAGAGUCUCAGAUAGGAUCCGGGAUAUCACGAGGAGCUUCGGAAUGGUCCAGAGAUAAAGUUUCAUGUAAGGAAAGUGGUGUUCAGGGUUCCAGAAAAUGUUCAGGAUUUUUUGGUAUUGUACCGGGAAGGUUCUUGAAGGUUCUGGAGUGGGGCUCACCUGCAUGGAGGGACCCACAUGGACAUGGGUAGUGGGGCACCAAGAUCCCCCCUAAAAGAAAUAGGAUUAUAUCCCGAAGGAAUAAGAUCAAGAUCCCUAAAAAGGGGAUCACGAUCGGCGGGGAAGGAAAGGAGGGGAUUUUCUCCCCCACUCCCUAGUGCGCAACCCUUAGGGGCUUGGAGGAGGGGACAAGCCUCCCCCCACGCCUAUAUAAAGGGGGGGAGUGAUACAUCUCCAACGUAUCUAUAAUUUUUGAUUGUUUCAUGCUAUUAUAUUAUCUAUUUUGGAUGUUUUAUGUGCAUUAAUAUGCUAUUUUAUAUUAUUUUUGGGACUAACCUAUUAACCCAGAACCCAGUGCAGUUUCUGUUUUUUUUCCUUGUUUUUGAGUUUGGCAGAAAAGGAAUAUCAAACGGAGUCCAAACGGAAUAAAACUUUACGAUGAUUUUUCUUGGACCAGAAGACACACGUAGGACUUGGAGACCAAGGAAAAGGAGUCCCGAAGCGACGGCAAGGGUGCAGGGCACGCACCAUGGGGGUGUGCCCCUGCCUUGUGGGUCCCUCGGAGCUCGUCUAACCCUAUUCUUCGCCUAUAAAUUCCCAAAUAUUCCCAAGACACCAGAAGCGUCCAUGAAAAAAUACUUUUCCUCUGUUCCCAUGAGAUCCCAUAUUCGGGCCUUUUCCGGCGAUCUGCCAGAGGGGGAUUCGAUCACGGAGGGCAUCUACAUCAACCCUAUUUCCCUUCCGAUGAAGCAUGAGUAGUUUACCUCAAAACUACGGGCCCAUAGCUAGUAGCUAGAUGGCUUCUUCUCUCUCUAUGAUCUUCAAUACCAAGUUCUCCUCGAUGUUAUUGGAGUUCUAUCCGAUGUAUUCUUUUGCGAUGUGUUUGUCGAGAUCCGAUGAAUUGUGGAUUUAUGAUCAGAUUAUCUAUGAAUAUUAUUUGAAUCUUCUCUGAAUUCUUAUAUGCAUGAUUUGAUAUCUUUUGUAUUUCUCUUCGAAUUAUUGGUUUGGUUUGGCCAACUAGAUUGGUAUUUCUUGCAAUGGGAGAGGUGCUUAGUUUUGGGUUCAAUCUUGCAGUGUCCUCACCCAGUGACAAAGUAGGGGUAGCGAGGCACGUAUUUGUAUUGUUUUCAUCAAGGAUAAAAAGGUGGGGGUUUCAUCAUAUUGCUUGAGUUUAUCCCUUUGCAUCAUGCCAUCUUACUUAAUGCGUUACUCUGUUCUCUUGAACUUAAUACUCUAGAUGCAGGCAGGAGUCGGCCGAUGUGUGGAGUAAUAGUAGUAGAUGCAGAAUCGCUUCGGUCUACUUGACACGGACGUGAUGCCUAUAUGCAUAAUCAUUGCCUUGGAUAUCGUCAUAACUUUGCGCUUUUUCUAUCAAUUGCUCGACAGUAAUUUGUUCACCCACCGUAUUAUUUGCCUUCAAGAGAGAAGCCUCUAGUGAAACCUAUGGUCCCCGGGUCUAUUUUCCCUUAUAUAUUUUCAGAUCUAUAAACCAAAAAAACCAAAAAAAU
rnacentral:lncRNA from 1 species